rnacentral:rRNA from 1 species
AGCAGCCGCGGUAAUUCCAGCUCCAAUAGCGUAUAUUAAAGUUGUUGCAGUUAAAAAGCUCGUAGUUGAAUUUCGGGAUCAAUAUAUUGGUCAUGCUUAGGUAUGUACUGGUAUUAUUGAUUUCUCCCUUCUGAAGAACCAUGAUGUCAUUAAUUUGAUGUCGUGGGGAAUCAGGACUGUUACUUUGAAAAAUUAGAGUGUUUAAAGCAGGCUUUCGCUUGAAUACAUUAGCAUGGAAUAAUGAAAUAGGACGUUUGAUUCUAUUUUGUUGGUUUCUAGGAUCGACGUAAUGAUUAAUAGGGAUAGUUGGGGGCAUUAGUAUUCAAUUGUCAGAGGUGAAAUUCUUGGAUUUAUUGAAGACUAACUACUGCGAAAGCAUUUGCCAAGGAUGUUUUCAUUAAUCAAGAACGAAAGUUAGGGGAUCGAAGACGAUCAGAUACCGUCGUAGUCUUAACCAUAAACUAUGCCGACUAGGGAUCGGAUGAUGUUAAUUUUUAAUGACUCAUUC